CACCGUGCUGGAGGCAAGUAAGGCGGUAUUUCCGGAGACAAUUGUGUGAUGUCUGGGAAUUGCUCUGAGAUAAUCAGCAGGGAGGGGCCGGCAGUCAGGGUAGAGAUUAAAGCAAACGGCCUCUGAGUCCGUCCUUGUUGAGCCGCCGGUGAAUGCAGUGGUGACUCUGUGCACCUUACUUUUGUGUGUGUUUCCAAGUUUCAAAGAGUAGGCUCAUGGAUCUACUUGGCUGAGUGUGGACCGAAAAGCAGCCCCCUCCCUGCCUCUCAGGCCCACAGGCUGUCUCCAGGCCUCAGAACAUUCUGGAAACGCUGCACUCACCUCCCCUCAGUGGCCACUUUGCCAACACCCCUCUGUUCACCAUACUCACCCCAUAUUCCUCCCCUGGGGUCAGAAGCCAAUCGUGGGAGGAGCCUAGAAGUCUAAAGAAGAGAAGGGCAGCUCCUCAUGCACCACCGUCACUGCGUCUGAGCCCCACAUGGCUGCCCCCCCACUGAGACUGAUGCCAGUGCAGCCCUGCCCUUGCCAGCAGGCCGGGAAGGCCCUCCGAAGGCAGUGGCCCUCAGGGGUGGACAGGGAAUCACCUGGGGGCCCUGGGACGCUGAGGACUCCUGAGUUUGGGCACCGGACCAGGCCAGAAGCCCAGGGGAGUCCUUCCGCUCUGACUUGAUUCCGUCUCCCACACUCGUGGGCCAUGAGACGGCCACUCAGUGGAGUUAACUAGCAUUGACUGUGUGUCCAGCUUGGCGAGCGAGGGGCCCUGCCUUCAUUGGUCUCCCAGCUGGGCAGGCUGACGGAGCUGAAAACGCCAUCACAGCAGAGGCACUGGCAAGGCAGGAGAUCCCGGUGCCAUCGCCCUGUCCCCUCGGUUCACUGCCUGAGCACACCCUGCCCCCUCCUCCUC
rnacentral:lncRNA from 1 species